UACGGAGGAUGCAAGCGUUAUCCGGAAUUAUUGGGCGUAAAGCGUCCGCAGGCGGCAAUGUAAGUCUGCUGUCAAAGCGUCUGGCUCAACCAGAUAAAGGCAGUGGAAACUACAUAGCUAGAGUAAGGUAGGGGUAGAGGGAAUUCCUGGUGUAGCGGUGAAAUGCGUAGAGAUCAGGAAGAACACCGGUGGCGAAAGCGGUCUGCUGGACCGUAACUGACACUGAGGGACGAAAGCUAGGGGAGCGAAUGGG
rnacentral:rRNA from 1 species